GCGUACUUGGUCUAACGGUUAUGAUUUUCGCUUCCCAAGCGGGAGAACGGGGUUCGACUCCCCGAGUACGCA
rfam:Tuber melanosporum whole genome shotgun sequence assembly, scaffold_12, strain Mel28